UUAAGCGACUAAGCGUACACGGUGGAUGCCUAGGCAGUCAGAGGCGAUGAAGGGCGUGCUAAUCUGCGAAAAGCGUCGGUAAGGUGAUAUGAACCGUUACAACCGGCGAUACCCGAAUGGGGAAACCCAGUGUGUUUCGACACACUAUCAUGUCAUGAAUACAUAGUGGCAUGAGGCGAACCGGGGGAACUGAAACAUCUAAGUACCCCGAGGAAAAGAAAUCAACCGAGAUUCCCCCAGUAGCGGCGAGCGAACGGGGAGCAGCCCGGAGUCUGAAUCAGCUUGUGUGUUAGUGGAAGCGUCUGGAAAGUCGCAGGGUACAGGGUGAUACUCCCGUACACUAAAACGCACAGGUUGUGAACUCGAAGAGUAGGGCGGGACACGUGGUAUCCUGUCUGAAUAUGGGGGGACCAUCCUCCAAGGCUAAAUACUCCUGACUGACCGAUAGUGAACCAGUACCGUGAGGGAAAGGCGAAAAGAACCCCGGCGAGGGGAGUGAAAAAGAACCUGAAACCGUGUACGUACAAGCAGUAGGAGCCCACUUGUUGGGUGACUGCGUACCUUUUGUAUAAUGGGUCAGCGACUUAUAUUCUGUAGCAAGGUUAACCGUAUAGGGGAGCCGCAGGGAAACCGAGUCUUAACUGGGCGUUAAGUUGCAGGGUAUAGACCCGAAACCCGGUGAUCUAGCCAUGGGCAGGUUGAAGGUUGGGUAACACUAACUGGAGGACCGAACCGACUAAUGUUGAAAAAUUAGCGGAUGACUUGUGGCUGGGGGUGAAAGGCCAAUCAAACCGGGAGAUAGCUGGUUCUCCCCGAAAGCUAUUUAGGUAGCGCCUCGUGAACUCAUCUUCGGGGGUAGAGCACUGUUUCGGCUAGGGGGUCAUCCCGACUUACCAACCCGAUGCAAACUACGAAUACCGAAGAAUGUUAUCACGGGAGACACACGGCGGGUGCUAACGUCCGUCGUGAAGAGGGAAACAACCCAGACCGCCAGCUAAGGUCCCAAAGUCAUGGUUAAGUGGGAAACGAUGUGGGAAGGCCCAGACAGCCAGGAUGUUGGCUUAGAAGCAGCCAUCAUUUAAAGAAAGCGUAAUAGCUCACUGGUCGAGUCGGCCUGCGCGGAAGAUGUAACGGGGCUAAACCAUGCACCGAAGCUGCGGCAGCGACACUAUGUGUUGUUGGGUAGGGGAGCGUUCUGUAAGCCGUUGAAGGUGGCCUGUGAGGGUUGCUGGAGGUAUCAGAAGUGCGAAUGCUGACAUAAGUAACGAUAAUGCGGGUGAAAAACCCGCACGCCGGAAGACCAAGGGUUCCUGUCCAACGUUAAUCGGGGCAGGGUGAGUCGACCCCUAAGGCGAGGCCGAAAGGCGUAGUCGAUGGGAAACAGGUUAAUAUUCCUGUACUUGGUGUUACUGCGAAGGGGGGACGGAGAAGGCUAUGUUGGCCGGGCGACGGUUGUCCCGGUUUAAGCGUGUAGGUGUGUGUUCCUGGUAAAUCCGGUUCACUUUAACACUGAGGCGUGAUGACGAGGCACUACGGUGCUGAAGUGACAAAUGCCCUGCUUCCAGGAAAAGCCUCUAAGCAUCAGGUAACAUCAAAUCGUACCCCAAACCGACACAGGUGGUCAGGUAGAGAAUACCAAGGCGCUUGAGAGAACUCGGGUGAAGGAACUAGGCAAAAUGGUGCCGUAACUUCGGGAGAAGGCACGCUGAUGGUAGGUGAAGUGACUUGCUCAUGGAGCUGAAAUCAGUCGAAGAUACCAGCUGGCUGCAACUGUUUAUUAAAAACACAGCACUGUGCAAACACGAAAGUGGACGUAUACGGUGUGACGCCUGCCCGGUGCCGGAAGGUUAAUUGAUGGGGUUAUCCUCACGGAGAAGCUCUUGAUCGAAGCCCCGGUAAACGGCGGCCGUAACUAUAACGGUCCUAAGGUAGCGAAAUUCCUUGUCGGGUAAGUUCCGACCUGCACGAAUGGCGUAAUGAUGGCCAGGCUGUCUCCACCCGAGACUCAGUGAAAUUGAACUCGCUGUGAAGAUGCAGUGUACCCGCGGCAAGACGGAAAGACCCCGUGAACCUUUACUAUAGCUUGACACUGAACACUGGUCCUUGAUGUGUAGGAUAGGUGGGAGGCUUUGAAGUGUGGACGCCAGUCUGCAUGGAGCCAUCCUUGAAAUACCACCCUUUAAUGGCUGGUGUUCUAACGUGGGCCCCUAAUCGGGGUUGCGGACAGUGUCUGGUGGGUAGUUUGACUGGGGCGGUCUCCUCCUAAAGAGUAACGGAGGAGCACGAAGGUCAGCUAAUCCUGGUCGGACAUCAGGAGGUUAGUGCAAUGGCAUAAGCUGGCUUGACUGCGAGCGUGACGGCGCGAGCAGGUGCGAAAGCAGGUCAUAGUGAUCCGGUGGUUCUGAAUGGAAGGGCCAUCGCUCAACGGAUAAAAGGUACUCCGGGGAUAACAGGCUGAUACCGCCCAAGAGUUCAUAUCGACGGCGGUGUUUGGCACCUCGAUGUCGGCUCAUCACAUCCUGGGGCUGAAGUAGGUCCCAAGGGUAUGGCUGUUCGCCAUUUAAAGUGGUACGCGAGCUGGGUUUAGAACGUCGUGAGACAGUUCGGUCCCUAUCUGCCGUGGGCGCUGGAGAAUUGAGGGGGGCUGCUCCUAGUACGAGAGGACCGGAGUGGACGCAUCACUGGUGUUCGGGUUGUCAUGCCAAUGGCAUUGCCCGGUAGCUAAAUGCGGAAGAGAUAAGUGCUGAAAGCAUCUAAGCACGAAACUUGCCCCGAGAUGAGUUCUCCCUGACCCUUUAAGGGUCCUGAAGGAACGUUGAAGACGACGACGUUGAUAGGCCGGGUGUGUAAGCGCAGCGAUGCGUUGAGCUAACCGGUACUAAUGAACCGUGAGGCUUAACCUU
rnacentral:rRNA from 1 species